rnacentral:lncRNA from 1 species
CUCCAUGCUCAUGUUCCGCACGUAGUAGUGCUGCGGCGGCACGUACGGCGGCGGGUACGCCGGCGGCGCCGGCCGGUACUGCUGGUUCAUCAUGUAGUCGGCGUUGUACAUGUAGGGCGGCGGCAUGUGGUGCGGCAGCGGCAUGUGGUGCGGGAACGGCAGCGGGGCCACGGCGGCGGGCUUCUUGUCGCCGUCCUUCUUGGCCGCCGCGUCGUCCUUCUUGCCGUCGCCAUCCUCCUUCUUGUCGCCGUCCUUCUUCCCGCCGUCGCCCUCCUCCUUCUUGUCGC